CCUACGGGGGGCUGCAGUCGGGAAUAUUGCCCAAUGCGCGAAAGCGUGAGGCAGCAACGCCGCGUGCGCGAUGAAGGCCUUCGGGUCGUAAAGCGCUUUUCAGUGGGAUGAGGAAGGACAGUACCACUGGAAUAAGGUACGGCUAACUACGUUCCAGCAGCCGCGGUAAAACGUAGGUACCGAGCGUUAUGCGAAUUUACUGGGCGUAAAGCGUGUUCAGGCGGUCUAGCAAGUCGGGCAUGAAAUCUCUCGGCUCAACCGGGAGGGGUUGUCCGAUACUGCUGGACUGGAGGGCAGCAGAGGGUGGUGGAAUUCCGGGUGUAGUGGUGAAAUGCGUAGAUAUCCGGAGGAACACCAGUGGCGAAGGCGGCCACCUGGGCUGUACCUGACGCUAACACACGAAAGCUAGGGGAGCGAACGGGAUUAGAUACCCUGGUAGUC
rnacentral:rRNA from 1 species